CAUCGAUGAAGAACGCAGCGAAAUGCGAUAAGUAAUGUGAAUUGCAGAAUUCAGUGAAUCAUCGAAUCUUUGAACGCAUCUUGCGCUCCUUGGUAUUCCGAGGAGCAUGCCUGUUUGAGUGUCAUUAAAUUCUCA
rnacentral:rRNA from 1 species